rnacentral:rRNA from 1 species
UACGAAGGGGGCUAGCGUUGCUCGGAAUCACUGGGCGUAAAGCGCACGUAGGCGGCUUUUUAAGUCAGAGGUGAAAUCCUGGAGCUCAACUCCAGAACUGCCUUUGAUACUGGAGAGCUUGAGUCCGGGAGAGGUGAGUGGAACUGCGAGUGUAGAGGUGAAAUUCGUAGAUAUUCGCAAGAACGCCAGUGGCGAAGGCGGCUCACUGGCCCGGUACUGACGCUGAGGUGCGAAAGCGUGGGGAGCAAACAGG